rnacentral:rRNA from 1 species
GACGAAGGAUGCAAGCGUUAUCCGGAUUCAUUGGGUUUAAAGGGUGCGUAGGCGGCCCGGUAAGUCAGUGGUGAAAUCUCCUUGCUUAACAAGGAAACUGCCAUUGAUACUGCUGGGCUUGAGUACAGAUGCUGUGGGCGGAAUAUGACAUGUAGUGGUGAAAUACAUAGAGAUGUCAUAGAACACCGAUUGCGAAGGCAGCUCGACAAAACUGUAACUGACGCUGAGGCACGAAAGUGCGGGGAGUCAAACAGG